rnacentral:rRNA from 1 species
UUAAACGGUAGGGUAUUGGCCUACCGUGGCAAUGACGGGUAACGGGGAAUUAGGGUUCGAUUCCGGAGAGGGAGCCUGAGAAACGGCUACCACAUCUAAGGAAGGCAGCAGGCGCGCAAAUUACCCAAUCCUAAUACAGGGAGGUAGUGACAAGAAAUAACAAUACAGGACUUUUUGGUUUUGUAAUGGAAUGAGUAAGAACC